CAGGACGAACGCUGGCGGCGUGCCUAAUACAUGCAAGUCGGACGGUCUUUCUAUGGAAGCUUGCUUCCACUGAGAAGAUAGUGGCGAACGGGUGAGUAACACGUGGGUAACCUGCCCAUAAGAGGGGGGAUAACAUCCGGAAACGGGUGCUAAUACCGCAUAGUUUUCUUGAUUGCAUGAUUGAGAAAGGAAAGACGGCCUUUGUGCUGUCGCUUAUGGAUGGACCCGCGGCGUAUUAGUUAGUUGGUGAGGUAACGGCUCACCAAGACGAUGAUACGUAGCCGACCUGAGAGGGUGAUUGGCCACAUUGGGACUGAGACACGGCCCAAACUCCUACGGGAGGCAGCAGUAGGGAAUCUUCCGCAAUGGACGAAAGUCUGACGGAGCAACGCCGCGUGAGUGAAAGAAGGUUUUCGGAUCGUAAAACUCUGUUGUCAGAGAAGAACAAGUUGGAGAGUAACUGCUCCAGCCUUGACGGUAUCUGACCAGAAAGCCACGGCUAACUACGUGCCAGCCGCCGC
rnacentral:rRNA from 1 species